CCUACGGGGGGCAGCAGUAGGGAAUCUUCCACAAUGGACGAAAGUCUGAUGGAGCAACGCCGCGUGAGUGAAGAAGGGUUUCGGCUCGUAAAGCUCUGUUGGUAGUGAAGAAAGAUAGAGGUAGUAACUGGCCUUUAUUUGACGGUAAUUACUUAGAAAGUCACGGCUAACUACGUGCCAGCAGCCGCGGUAAUACGGAGGGGGCAAGCGUUUUCCGGACUUAUUGGGCGUAAAGCGAGUGCAGGCGGUUAAAAAAAUU
rnacentral:rRNA from 1 species